GCAACUUCAACACCAGUGUGGGUAACCAUGAGUGCUUACACAGGUCCUUGAGAGUUCAGUCAGCUGAGUAAAUUAAUAGAGAGCUGACUUUAUCUUGUACUACACAGCUCAACCUAAAUUAAGUGUCUAUUUUUUUAAGGUGUCAUUCAAUGGUAUGAGAAAAGCAAAUUUGCUUUGCUGUUUACUGCAUAAAAAUAUACAGAAACUCUGAGGCUUUGCCUGAUGUUACAGGAAACUCCUUCUAGAUUAUUGGCUUGCUGAGCAAAGCCCUUUAUAUCCUUGGAGCAUCGUCCCCUGCUGCUGCCUGCUCAUGGUUACACAAGAUCACAGCUACAAAAGGAAUGUGAAAGUUCUGCUUCCAGAUACAGGGACACAAGUUGAAGGCUAUGAGCCCUGAAUGGGUUAAUACUAGGGUGUCUGGAGAGACAACUGUUUGAAAAUGGAUCUCAAGACAGCUGAGUGUUUUUAAAUGUAUAAUUAGGACUUCCAACUGCAGUUGUUCCUGGCAGCAACUCAAACCAGACUGUUGCUUGGUAGAUUCUGGGCCACACUUGGUCGACAUGGCCACUUGCUCCUCUUCGUGUCCAGAGCAGAUGCUGAAGAUCCUGCAAAGAUGGG